rnacentral:tRNA from 1 species
AAGAAAUUAGGUUCAAACUUUUAAACCGAGGGCCUUCAAAGCCA